rnacentral:rRNA from 1 species
GACGAACCGUGCGAACGUUGUUCGGAAUCACUGGGCUUAAAGGGCGCGUAGGCGGGCACAAAAGUCAGAGGUGAAAGCCCCCGGCUCAACCGGGGAAGUGCCUUUGAUACUGUGUGUCUCGAGGGGGAUAGGGGCGUGCGGAACUUCCGGUGGAGCGGUGAAAUGCGUAGAUAUCGGAAGGAACACCGGUGGCGAAAGCGGCGCGCUGGAGUCCCUUCUGACGCUGAGGCGCGAAAGCCAGGGGAGCGAACGGG